UACGGAGGGUGCGAGCGUUGUUCGGAAUCACUGGGCGUAAAGGGCGCGUAGGCGGCCCUCCUUGUCGCGUGUGAAAGCCCCGGGCUCAACCUGGGAACGGCGCGCGAGACGGGGGGGCUGGAGUUCGGGAGAGGAGCGUGGAAUUCCCAGUGUAGAGGUGAAAUUCGUAGAUAUUGGGAAGAACACCGGUGGCGAAGGCGGCGCUCUGGACCGAGACUGACGCUGAGGCGCGAAAGCGUGGGGAGCAAACAGG
rnacentral:rRNA from 1 species